UAGCAUAAUCAAUAGUCUCUUAAUUGGUGACUUGUAUGAAAGAUUGGAUGAGAUAUAAACUGUCUCUAAUUAAUCUAUAAAAAUUAAUUUUUUAGUUAAAAAGCUAAAAUAAUUUUAAAAGACGAGAAGACCCUAUAGAGUUUAAUAUUUUAUUUAAUAAUUAUUAAUAUAUGCAUAUAAUUUUAACAAUUAAAAUUAAAUGAAAUAUUUUGUUGGGGUGAUAAAAAAAUUAAAUUAACUUUUUUUGAUUGUAGACAUUAAUUUAUGGUUAAAUGAUCCAUUUAUAGUGAUUAAAAGAAAAAAUUACCUUAGGGAUAACAGCGUAAUUUUUUUUUUUAGUUCAAAUAGGAAAAAAAGUUUGCGACCUCGAUGUUGGAUUAA
rnacentral:rRNA from 1 species